UACAGAGGUCUCAAGCGUUGUUCGGAUUCAUUGGGCGUAAAGGGUGCGCAGGCUGCGUGGUAAGUCGGGUGUGAAAUUUAGGGGCUCAACCCCUAAACUGCAUCUGAUACUGCCAUGCUAGAGGACUGUAGAGGAGAUUGGAAUUCACGGUGUAGCAGUGAAAUGCGUAGAUAUCGUGAGGAAGACCGGUGGCGAAGGCGAAUCUCUGGGCAGUUCCUGACGCUCAUGCACGAAGGCUAGGGGAGCGAAC
rnacentral:rRNA from 1 species